GAUGAACGCUAGCGGCAGGCCUAAUACAUGCAAGUCGAACGAUAUUAAGGGGCUUGCUCCUUAAGAAAGUGGCGCACGGGUGCGUAACGCGUAUGCAACCUACCUUAAUCAGGGGGAUAGCCCGAAGAAAUUCGGAUUAACACCGCAUAAAAACACAGGAUAGCAUUAUCCAAUGUUCAAAUAUUUAUAGGAUUAAGAUGGGCAUGCGUGUCAUUAGCUAGUUGGCGGGGUAACGGCCCACCAAGGCGACGAUGACUAGGGGAUCUGAGAGGAUGACCCCCCACACUGGUACUGAGACACGGACCAGACUCCUACGGGAGGCAGCAGUAAGGAAUAUUGGUCAAUGGAGGCAGCUCUGAACCAGCCAUGCCGCGUGCAGGAAGACUGCCCUAUGGGUUGUAAACUGCUUUUAUCCGGGAAUAAACCUUUCUACGUGUAGGAAGCUGAAUGUACCGGAAGAAUAAGGAUCGGCUAACUCCGUGCCAGCCGCCGCUGUAAUAC
rnacentral:rRNA from 1 species